CUUGGAACUGCAGAAUUUAUUCACUUGUCAGAAUUUUGUUGAAAAAUAAUUUUGGGAAAGAAUUCAAGCAGCCACAAAAAAGCAGAAAGAGGUGCUUUUUACUGUGCUGACAUGCAAAUAAUUACUACAAUAUUGUCUAAUUGCAAUGUCAAGUCUUAAAAUGUGGUAUUGUCUUUAUUAUAUAUCAUUCCAACAAGUAUAUUAUGCUAGAUAAUUAUCUGUAUAA